UAUGGCCAUAUCAUAUUGAAACACUGAUUCCCAUAUGAUCACUGAAGUUAACCAACAUUGAUCAUAGCCAGUACUUAGAUGAGUAACUGUGUGGAAAUACCAGGUGCUGUAA